rnacentral:rRNA from 1 species
UACGAAGGGGGCUAGCGUUGCUCGGAAUCAUUGGGCGUAAAGAGCGCGUAGGCGGCUAGAUAAGUCCGGUGUGAAGGUCACAGGCUCAACCUGUGAAUGCCGCUGGAAACUGUCUGGCUAGAGUCCGGAAGGGGCGAGUGGAAUUCCUGGUGUAGCGGUGAAAUGCGCAGAUAUCAGGAGGAACACCAAUGGCGAAGGCAGCUCGCUGGGACGGUACUGACGCUGAGGCGCGAAAGCGUGGGGAGCAAACAGG